rfam:Corynebacterium ureicelerivorans strain IMMIB RIV-2301, complete genome.
ACAAGGAGAGUGUGUACGGACUCUGUCCGGGGCGUGAAGCGUUCUGGUGUACUUCCCCGACAUCAGAACAGCCGCCCCGGGCAGGGCUCUACGCGCUCCCCGCACUGCA